rnacentral:rRNA from 1 species
GUCUACGGGAGGCAGCAGUAGGGAAUCUUCCACAAUGGAGGAAAGUCUGAUCCAGCACAGCCGCGUGAGCCAAGAAGGCGCUCGGCUGGGAAGCGAUGAAGGCGGGAGGAACGAAACGGGUUACCUGCCCGUACCCGACGGUACCGCAGAAAAGCAUGCUA